rnacentral:rRNA from 1 species
AGUGAACGCUGGCGGUAGGCCUAACACAUGCAAGUCGAACGGCAGCACAGUAAGAGCUUGCUCUUACGGGUGGCGAGUGGCGGACGGGUGAGGAAUACAUCGGAAUCUACUUUUUCGUGGGGGAUAACGUAGGGAAACUUACGCUAAUACCGCAUACGACCUACGGGUGAAAGCAGGGGAUCUUCGGACCUUGCGCGAUUGAAUGAGCCGAUGUCGGAUUAGCUAGUUGGCGGGGUAAAGGCCCACCAAGGCGACGAUCCGUAGCUGGUCUGAGAGGAUGAUCAGCCACACUGGAACUGAGACACGGUCCAGACUCCUACGGGAGGCAGCAGUGGGGAAUAUUGGACCCUGGGCGCAAGCCUGAUCCCGCCCUCCCGCGUGGGUGAAGAAGGCCUUCGGGUUGUAAAGCCCUUUUGUUGGGAAAGAAAAGCAGCAGGUUAAUACCCCGCUGUUCUGACGGUACCCCAAGAAUAAGCACCGGCUCACUUCGUG